GAUGAACGCUAGCGGCAGGCUUAAUACAUGCAAGUCGAGGGGGAUUAGUUUUGUAGCAAUACGAGACUAUGAGACCGGCAAACGGGUGAGGAACACGUACACAACCUUCCUUUAAGUGGGGCAUAGCCCAGGGAAACUUGGAUUAAUACCCCGUAACAUUAUGAAGUGGCAUCACUUUAUAAUUAUAGCUCCGGCGCUUAAUGAUGGGUGUGCGUCUGAUUAGGUAGUUGGCGGAGUAACAGCCCACCAAGCCUACGAUCAGUAACUGGUGUGAGAGCACGACCAGUCACACGGGCACUGAGACACGGGCCCGACUCCUACGGGAGGCAGCAGUAAGGAAUAUUGGGCAAUGGACGCAAGUCUGACCCAGCCAUGCCGCGUGGAGGAUGAAGGUCCUCUGGAUUGUAAACUUCUUUUAUUUGGGAAGAAAUUCUCGCAUUCCUGCGGGAUUGACGGUACCAGAUGAAUAAGCACCGGCUAACUCCGUGCCAGC
rnacentral:rRNA from 1 species